GACGAACGCUGGCGGCGUGCCUAAUACAUGCAAGUCGAGCGAAUCUUUUGGGAGCUUGCUCCCUUAAGGUUAGCGGCGGACGGGUGAGUAACACGUGGGUAACCUGCCUGUAAGACUGGGAUAACUUCGGGAAACCGGAGCUAAUACCGGAUACUUUCUUUUCUCGCAUGAGGGAAGAUGGAAAGAUGGUUCUGCUAUCAAUUACAGAUGGACCCGCGGCGCAUUAGCUAGUUGGUGAGGUAACGGCUCACCAAGGCGACGAUGCGUAGCCGACCUGAGAGGGUGAUCGGCCACACUGGGACUGAGACACGGCCCAGACUCCUACGGGAGGCAGCAGUAGGGAAUCUCCCGCAAUGGACGAAAGUCUGACGGAGCAACGCCGCGUGAGCGAAGAAGGCCUUCGGGUCGUAAAGCUCUGUUGUUAGGGAAGAACAAGUACGAGAGUAACUGCUCGUACCUUGACGGUACCUAACCAGAAAGCCACGGCUAACCACGUGCCAGCAGCCGCGGUAACAC
rnacentral:rRNA from 1 species